rnacentral:rRNA from 1 species
AUUGAACGCUGGCGGCAGGCCUAACACAUGCAAGUCGAGCGGAAACGAUCCUAGCUUGCUAGGAGGCGUCGAGCGGCGGACGGGUGAGUAAUGCAUAGGAAUCUGCCCGAUAGUGGGGGAUAACCUGGGGAAACUCAGGCUAAUACCGCAUACGUCCUACGGGAGAAAGCAGGGGAUCUUCGGACCUUGCGCUAUCGGAUGAGCCUAUGUCGGAUUAGCUUGUUGGUGAGGUAAUGGCUCACCAAGGCGACGAUCCGUAGCUGGUCUGAGAGGAUGAUCAGCCACAUCGGGACUGAGACACGGCCCGAACUCCUACGGGAGGCAGCAGUGGGGAAUAUUGGACAAUGGGCGAAAGCCUGAUCCAGCCAUGCCGCGUGUGUGAAGAAGGCUUUCGGGUUGUAAAGCACUUUCAGUGAGGAAGAAAGCCUUGGGGCUAAUACCCCCAAGGGACGACAUCACUCACAGAAGAAGCACCGGCUAACUCCGUGCCAGCAGCCGCGGUAAUACGGAGGGUGCGAGCGUUAAUCGGAAUUACUGGGCGUAAAGCGCGCGUAGGCGGCUUGAUAAGCCGGUUGUGAAAGCCCCGGGCUCAACCUGGGAACGGCAUCCGGAACUGUCAGGCUAGAGUGCAGGAGAGGAAGGUAGAAUUCCCGGUGUAGCGGUGAAAUGCGUAGAGAUCGGGAGGAAUACCAGUGGCGAAGGCGGCCUUCUGGACUGACACU